UGAAAAUUACCUCUAUUUUUGUCUACUAGUCUUGUAGUUUUAAUCUUUACAUUUAGGCCCUUGGUUCACUUUGAAUUAACUUUUGCUCAUGGUAAGACUCCAAUUUCAUUAUUUGCAUGUGGAUACCCAGUGGUUCUAGCACCAUUUGCUGAAAAGACUCUCUUUCUCCCAUUGGAUAUGCUGGCACCCUUGUUAAAACUCAAUUGAGGGGCUGAGGUUGUGGCUCAUUGAUAGCGUGCUUGCCUAGCAUGCAUGAUGCACUGGGUUCAAUUCUCAAUACCACAUACAAAUAAAUAAAAUAAAGGUCCAUCAGCAAGUAAAAAAUAAUAAAAAUAAAUAAAAUAAAGGUCCAUCAAGAAGUAAAAAAUAAUAAAAAUAAAUAAGAUUAAAAAAAAUCAAUUGACCAUAGACAAAUGGGUUUAUUUCUGGACUCUUCAUUCUAUUUCAUCAGUCUAUGCAUCAGUCAUUAUGUCAGUACUCCAUUGUCUUGAAUACUGCUGUUUUAGUGAGUUUUGAAAUCAAAAAGUAUGUGACUCCUCCAACUUUGUUCUUGAUUUUCAAGAUUGUUUUAGCUAUUCUGAACCCUUGCAAUUCCAUAUGAAUUUUAGAGCCAGCUGAGAUGUUAACAGGUAUUUAAUUGAAUCUGUAGGUCAGUUUUGGUAAUACAUCUUAACACUACUAAGCCUUCUGAUCCAUGAACAUGGGAGGGGAUAAUUUCCAUUUAUUUGAAUCUUUUUUAUUUCUUUCAACAUUUUUUGUACUUUCUUAUAUAUUGUGUAUUUUGUAUUUUGG
rnacentral:lncRNA from 1 species